rnacentral:rRNA from 1 species
UAACGCGAAGAACCUUACCAAGGCUUGACAUGAACCGGUAAGACCUGGAAACAGGUCCCCCGCUUGCGGUCGGUUUACAGGUGGUGCAUGGUUGUCGUCGGCUCGUGUCGUGAGAUGUUGGGUUAAGUCCCGCAACGAGCGCAACCCUCGUUCUAUGUUGCCAGCACGUGAUGGUGGGGACUCAUAGGAGACUGCCGGGGUCAACUCGGAGGAAGGUGGGGACGACGUCAAAUCAUCAUGCCCCUUAUGUCUUGGGCUUCACGCAUGCUACAAUGGCCGGUACAAAGGGUUGCGAUACUGUGAGGCGGAGCUAAUCCCAAAAAGCCGGUCUCAGUUCGGAUCGGGGUCUGCAACUCGACCCCGUGAAGUCGGAGUCGCUAGUAAUCGCAGAUCAGCAACGCUGCGGUGAAUACGUUCCCGGGUCUUGUACACACCGA